AAACAUCGCCUCCUGCAACUAUAUUGUGUAUAGGAGGUCCAGCCUGCCCAGUGACUACGGGUUCAACGGCCGCGGUAUUUUGACCGUGCAAAGGUAGCGCAAUCACUUGUCUCUUAAAUAGAGACCUGUAUGAAUGGCUAGACGAGGGCUUAACUGUCUCCCCCUUCCAGUCAAUGAAAUUGAUCUAUCCGUGCAGAAGCGGGUAUAAUUAUACAAGACGAGAAGACCCUUUGGAGCUUAAGGUACAAGAUUCAACCACGUUAAGCGACUCUACAUAAAGCACGAACUUAGUGAUGUAUGAGACUUUACCUUCGGUUGGGGCGACCACGGAGGAAAAAGAAGCCUCCGAGUGGACUGGGCCAAACCCCUAAAGCCAGUAGAUACAUCUAUAAGCCGCAGAACAUCUGACCAAAAAUGAUCCGACUGAAAAGCCGAUCAACGAACCAAGUUACCCUAGGGAUAACAGCGCAAUCCUCUCCCAGAGUCCAUAUCGACGAGGGGGUUUACGACCUCGAUGUUGGAUCAGGACAUCCUAAUGGUGCAGCCGCUAUUAAGGGUUCGUUUGUUCAACGAUUAAAGU
rnacentral:rRNA from 1 species